AUUGAACGCUGGCGGCAUGCUUUACACAUGCAAGUCGAACGGUAACAGGCCUUCGGGUGCUGACGAGUGGCGCACGGGUGAGUAAUGCAUCGGAACGUGCCCAGAGGUGGGGGAUAACGCAGCGAAAGCUGUGCUAAUACCGCAUGUGAUCUGAGGAUGAAAGCGGGGGACCAGGCAGCAAUGUUUGGCCUCGCGCCUUUGGAGCGGCCGAUGUCAGAUUAGGUAGUUGGUGGGGUAAAGGCCUACCAAGCCGACGAUCUGUAGCUGGUCUGAGAGGACGACCAGCCACACUGGGACUGAGACACGGCCCAGACUCCUACGGGAGGCAGCAGUGGGGAAUUUUGGACAAUGGGCGCAAGCCUGAUCCAGCAGUGCCGCGUGCGGGAAGAAGGCCUUCGGGUUGUAAACCGCUUUUGUACGGAACGAAAAGGCUCUGGCUAAUACCUGGGGCUGAUGACGGUACCGUAAGAAUAAGCACCGGCUAACUACGUG
rnacentral:rRNA from 1 species